GAUGAACGCUGGCGGCGCGCUUAACACAUGCAAGUCGAACGGAAAGGCCUCAGCUUGCUGGGGUACUCGAGUGGCGAACGGGUGAGUAACACGUGGGUGAUCUGCCCUGCACUGUGGGAUAAGCUUGGGAAACUGGGUCUAAUACAGAAUAUGACCACUUCUUGGAUGUUGUGGUGGAAAGCUUUUGCGGUGUGGGAUGAGCCUGCGGCCUAUCAGCUUGUUGGUGGGGUAAUGGCCUAACAAGGCGGCGACGGGUAUCCGGCCUGAGAGGGUGUACGGACACAUUGGGACUGAGGUACGGCCCAGACUCCUACGGGAGGCAGCAGUGGGGAAUAUUGCACAAUGGGCGCAAGCCUGAUGCAGCGACGCCGCGUGGGGGAUGAAGGCCUUCGGGUUGUAAACUCCUUUCGCUAUCGACGAAGCCACUUGUGGUGACGGUAGGUAGAUAAGAAGCACCGGCUAACUACGUGCCAGCAGCCGCAGUAA
rnacentral:rRNA from 1 species